CGGCGGACGGGUGAGUAACACGUGGAUAACUUACCUAUAAGACUGGGAUAACUUCGGGAAACCGGAGCUAAUACCGGAUAAUAUAUUGAACCGCAUGGUUCAAUAGUGAAAGACGGUUUUGCUGUCACUUAUAGAUGGAUCCGCGCCGCAUUAGCUAGUUGGUAAGGUAACGGCUUACCAAGGCAACGAUGNGUAGCCGACCUGAGAGGGUGAUCGGCCACACUGGAACUGAGACACGGUCCAGACUCCUACGGGAGGCAGCAGGC
rnacentral:rRNA from 1 species